CGGCUGCAGCCUGGGCGCCGCGCGGGGUCGGAGGUCCCCAGCGCGCACCAGGCUUGCAGACACAGCAUAGCCCGGAGGGAGCUGAGGCAUGGCCGCCCCAGAGCCGGCGGCUCCGUGUGCAAUUUCCCUCCGAUACUCCUGGCUGCUGUUGCCACGGGGAUGAUGGCUGUGCCGUGUCAUCGUCGAUCCGCCAACAGUGAGAGAAGCCUUGCAGUCGCGAUAUUGUUUGGCAGACCGAGGGGUUUCUGUCGGACACUAAGUGCUGCUACAAAC